AUGGCUGGUCCACUAACGAUUAAAGAUUGUACUUGUUCGAUAUUUUAGCUUUUGUUUUUUAUUUGCAAUAAUAUCUAUUUAUUUAUUUUGUAUACUUUAGAUAUCAUAUAGUGGAUUUGUUUUAGGUGUUCAAAAAAAAAGAUAUCAUAUAGUGGUCAAACCAAAAUCAAAAGAAAGGGGGCUCUCUCUUAACUCUCUUUGUAUCUUUCAGAGAGAGAGUCCGACUCGAUGGUCGUUCGGCGGUUGUGUCCGGCGAUAUGUCCCCUCUGUAGGGGAUGAGGUUCUGACAUCUGUUGCUUAGUUAGAACCCCUGUUCGAAAACGCGGACGCUUAGGCGCGACUCGGAGCUGAGGCAAUUCGGUGACUCAAAUCGGUGGACCGCACAACAUCCACGUAAAUCUGAAAUGCGGCCGCCUAGUUCAAGACAAAAUUGUGGGCCAACUGUUCUCUGUUCGCGAAUUCAAGGUGUAUGCUGCAAGAUCUAAUUCCUAACCCAUCUUCCCAAUUCAUGGUGAUUACUUAUUUGACCUGAAGACAAAAAGGAUGAAGACUUGCAAUCUUUUAUUGUAGUUUGUGUUUUCAAGAUCAAAACAUUCUGUUUUUUUUUUUGUUUAUCUCAUGAAUUGGAAGUUUCUUUUUGUGACUUUUGAACCAAAUGUAUACUGGAAAAACAAUGUUAUUCUGUAAAAGUUAUAUAAGCAUGUAUUAAAACAUAUAUUUGGUACUUAAACAUAUUAUAAAUAUAUUAAAUCGUAUUAAAAACUAGGCUCCGCGUAUACCCCGAUUACUCCCCGAUUUUUUGGUAACUCGCUAGGUCCGGAGUAGCCGCCCGACUAGCGCCUAGCAUAGUUCGGAACAGGGGUUAGAACAGACUGGUCGGCUUUUGGCUCCGGUGGUAGGCAUUCUUCUCUGACGUUCCCACUGGCUCUUGGCUCCGGCGUCUCACUUACUUCUCCGGUGAUGACGACGGCUUCUCUCCGGGAUCCUUUCCCGGUCUGGUUCGAUCUCUGACGUCUCGACUUCCGCUGCGCAGUCGCCUUUGUUCCAAUUUCCGCUUGAUCUUUCCUUCUCUCGGGUAGAGUUGUUGCAUCUUCAAGCUUCCUUCUAUCAUCAAAGGUGCCUCGUGAUUCUUGCAGGAACAUCGUUAUUGGAAGCGUGGUUGUCGAUUGAUGAAGCAGAGAUCUUUUGGCAUGGACUUUGACGUCUUUGGUGGCUUUGUUUUUCGGAUAUGUUCUCGGAUUGGGCCGAUUUGAUGUGAUCUUGUUAGUCAGGCUCCGGCGUUUUAGCCUUUGUCGGUGUGGCCUCUUAAUUGCUAAAGUCGUCCGACAGCUUCUCCUCAUCUAUGUCCUGCUCUGGUGUGUUCCGGUGGACUGUCGGUGAGCUGCUCCGGUGAAGAUUUUCCGGUCGUUGGUGACGGGUGUCGAUUGUGCUUCCACGUGCCCCUCUAUCUCUCUUCCGUAAGACGUGUGUUGAGGUUGACUCGAACUCCAUUUCUCACUUAGGCUAUUUUGUGGUUGGGUCCUCUGGAGCCUCUUGUUUUUUCUUUGUUUUCGUUUGGCUUGGCUUUUGGGCCUUUUGUGUUGUAUAGCUUGGGCUUUAUCCUUUAUAAUAUUAUCAGAUGACAAAAAAAAAGAUAUCAUAUAGUGGUAUUUAGGUUGUAUAACAGAAGGUUUCAACUCUUCUUUCAGAUUCAUGACUAACCCAGUGUGAAUAUGUGUGUGUGUAAAAUUCAUUGUGGUAGAAAAUUUCUAAUAGGCUUGUAAAUCUGUGUAUGUGUAAUUUUCAAAAUCUGCUAUUUCGGAGAAUUACAUUAAUUUUUAUGAAAAACAAAUCGAAACUAUGCUAAAACAUACUCCCUUUGUUCCAUAUUGUAAGUAGUUUUAGUUAAAAGCACUAAUAUUAAGAAAUUGUUGCUUUUGUAAAAAAUAGUAUUUAAUUAAUAAACUCAACCUAUUAUAAAAAAACUAGCAUUAUUUGAUUGGUUACACAAUAUCCAACAAAAAGAAAAUGUGCAUUGAAAUAUGAAAACUACUUAUAUUGUGAAACAAACAUUUUUUGCUAAAACUGCUUACAAUAUAAAACAGAGGGAGUAUAUCAGUAGCUAAUUUGUUUAUCAGAAUUAGUCCUAAUGUAAUAAUGAAGUGUUUUGCCUGUUGGUGGUGGUCGCUUACUAUGCUUUUGGGAAAACAUUUUGAUCUGCCUUUACUCUCCGGUGUUAUGUUUAUAAUGCUUAUUCAAACAGUGUGUACUUCCAAAUCUAGUAAGAGAUACAUAUGAGGUUUAGCAACUUGAAAUCUUAGGAUAAAACCAUCUAACCAAAUACCACAACACACAUGGAUGUUUGCAAAUUCAACACGAGUUUCAGGUUCCAUAGCUUAUGAUCAUCUCUGAUAAUGUAUCAUGUGUUUGAGGGCUCUUCGUCUUUUGUUCUGUGUGGUCCUGUGGAUCCAAGAAUCAUGUCAAUACUUGAUAUCGGGCAGAGAUAUGUCCAAAAAAUCGAUGAAACUAGCAAGUCAGUUGCACUCGCCUCCAGGAGUUGUACCAUAGCAGACAGACAACUAUAGUGUGGAAGAUUAUGUAGGAGAUGCUCAAAGAGUGGACUUUGUUCCUACAAAUAUUGCUACAAGCCUCUAGCUAUCUUCUAUAAUUCUAUUGCAUGUUGGCUUGCUUAGAAAACUUUCACAGGGAAUACUUUUUGUUGAUGUUUAGGGCUUUUUCUUUCAUGAUCCAUUCACUUGUUGACAUUUCCUUCGCUGCACUUUAAUUAAAUCACUUUCCCGUUUCGAAAAGAUGACAAGCCAAGUGAUACCUUAUCAUGAUAAUAUCAUCACUCUGAAACAUUCGAACAUAUACCAAAUACAACACACUAUAUAUAUCACAUUGGGAAGGCCAUGAGAAGCAUGGUCCGUCCUCCCAACAUAAAACUGUCUCACAAGAUAUACCCCAAACAACUUUACUUGAAUAAUAAUAAUAUUACUUACCAAUCCAUUUAAGAAUCAUGGACAAAAAAGGAUGGCUGACACGUAAAUAACAAACAACAAUGAAAGCAGAAAGAC